CUCAUACGUUGGAAGAAGAGAAGGAGGAAGAGAAGCCCAGUGCAAAAAUUCUUAUUCAUCCUGUUUUCAGGUUGUCUCACGCCCACAAAGCAGCAGUCAAAGUACUCCGGAGAAUGAAGUACUUUGUGGCCAGACAGAAAUUUCAGCAAGCAAGGAAGCCGUACGACGUGAGGGACGUGAUGGAGCAGUACAACCAGGGACACCUCACCAUGAUGGUCCGCAUCAAGGAGCUACAGAGGAGACUAGACCUCACAUUGGGGAAACCAGGAAUGUUUUUCCCAGGUAAAACCCACCAGAGAAAACUCACCAGGCCAGAGAUGAUCUGAU